ensembl:lncRNA
CACAUAUAUGUGAAGCACUGUUAAAUAUAUUGAAAUAUAUUUUGAAAAUCUAUUUUAAAAAUACAUAUGUUGCGAGUGUGUGUUACAUUAUAUUCAUGCCUCAAAUAACUUUUAAUCAAUGUGUUUUUGCAGUGCAGCAAUGCAUUUUGUUUCUACACUAUGUUUACCAUUUUUAAAGCUAUUAUUAUAUUAUAUUAUAUUAUAUUAUAUUAUAUUAUAUUAUAUUAUAUUAUAUUAUAUUAUAUAGAUCCUAUAUUCUAAUUCUAUUUAGGUCUACUAUCAACUUAAUAUGUUAUCAAGUGUCAGGACAAGUUUAUAAUUUUAUGUACUAUGUAAACGCUGUGUAAUGUGUUUGAUGGGCGCGCGCGUUGAACAUUCGACGCGCAUUUAAACUGUGGAGGGAGUUACCAUGGAAACGGGGCGGCAACUCAGCUGACAAGUAGCAAAUCUCUCCGUCUCUCACUGUUGUUUUUACUGCUUUCAGAAAUGGUUCAGUGUCAUGGGAAUAAGUCCGUUAGCAUCACAACCGUGAGCUAACAGAGGCUAACUAUAAGAGAGUUGGAGUGGACCUCUUGUUGAAGAACUUCUCCAGGCACUAUGAACCAUCUGACUAAUGCUGUCAUGAAACGCCAUGAAAAGGCAACUGCUGGACACCUGGGACAGGCCAUCAAUUCCAAGUUGGCGUCAAUUCCCUGUUAGAGUUUAGAGUUGUCUAAUAGAGAGGGUGAAGGAAGAACAUCCAAACCCUGCCCCUGCUUCCUUCAAGAUUUUUUAUGGAUUUAUAUAAUGAUGUUUUUUCGUAAAGUAAAGAGAGUGGCAAAAUUAACAUGACCCUACUUUGAUGUUUUGUUCUACAAAUUAAACUACACACACACUCCAA